CAGUCGUACCUGCGGGUAAUCAGCCUUUUGGGUGUGAUUAUGUGGAGCGUGAGGAGCUAAACACCCUCAUCUUUGCAUGAUUGAAGUCAGUCGUACCUGCGGGUAAUCAGCCUUUUGGGUGUGAUUAUGUGGAGCGUGAGGAGCUAAACACCCUCAUCUUUGCAUAUUCGUGCACUUUGGGUGUACUUGCUCGUGUGGUAGGUUAACAUCAAUUUUGAUCGUCAUAAAAUGACUUGAGGAAUGUAGCUUCGAUCUCGUAUUGAAGUGUUAUAGCCUUUGGUAGAUGUGAUGAUUAGGAUUGAGGAUUGCAACGGAUACCCUUCGGGGCUACCUGUCUGAUCUCUGAAAGUUGCUCUGGUGCUGAAAGCUUGCUUAUGGUAUCAAAGUUGACGUUCAAUAGGUUAGAACGGGAUAAA
rnacentral:rRNA from 1 species